AAAUGAAUAGACGGGGACCCGCACAAGCAGCGGAGCAUGUGGUUUAAUUCGAAGCAACGCGAAGAACCUUACCAGGACUUGACAUCCCUCUGACCGGGCCGUAACGGGUCCUUCCCUUCGGGGCAGAGGAGACAGGUGGUGCAUGGUUGUCGUCAGCUCGUGUCGUGAGAUGUUGGGUUAAGUCCCGCAACGAGCGCAACCCUUGUCAUUAGUUGCCAGCAGUUCGGCUGGGCACUCUAGUGAGACUGCCGGGGAUAACUCGGAGGAAGGUGGGGAUGACGUCAAAUCAUCAUGCCCCUUAUGUUCUGGGCUACACACGUGCUACAAUGGCUGGUACAAAGAGAAGCAAGACCGCGAGGUGGAGCAAAUCUCAAAAACCAGUCCCAGUUCGGAUUGUAGGCUGCAACUCGCCUACAUGAAGUUGGAGUUGCUAGUAAUCGCGAAUCAGAAUGUCGCGGUGAAUGCGUUCCCGGGUCUUGUACACACCGCCCGU
rnacentral:rRNA from 1 species